GCAAACAGGAUUAGAUACCCUGGUAGUCCACGCCGUAAACGAUGUCGACUUGGAGGUUGUGCCCUUGAGGCGUGGCUUCCGGAGCUAACGCGUUAAGUCGACCGCCUGGGGAGUACGGCCGCAAGGUUAAAACUCAAAUGAAUUGACGGGGGCCCGCACAAGCGGUGGAGCAUGUGGUUUAAUUCGAUGCAACGCGAAGAACCUUACCUGGCCUUGACAUCCAGAGAACUUAGCAGAGAUGCUUUGGUGCCUUCGGGAACUCUGAGACAGGUGCUGCAUGGCUGUCGUCAGCUCGUGUUGUGAAAUGUUGGGUUAAGUCCCGCAACGAGCGCAACCCUUAUCCUUUGUUGCCAGCGGCUCGGCCGGGAACUCAAAGGAGACUGCCGGUGAUAAACCGGAGGAAGGUGGGGAUGACGUCAAGUCAUCAUGGCCCUUACGGCCAGGGCUACACACGUGCUACAAUGGCGCAUACAAAGAGAAGCGACCUCGCGAGAGCAAGCGGACCUCAUAAAGUGCGUCGUAGUCCGGAUUGGAGUCUGCAACUCGACUCCAUGAAGUCGGAAUCGCUAGUAAUCGUAGAUCAGAAUGCUACGGUGAAUACGUUCCCGGGCCUUGUACACACCGCCCGUCACACCAUGGGAGUGGGUUGCAAAAGAAGUAGGUAGCUUAACCUUCGGGAGGGCGC
rnacentral:rRNA from 1 species